rnacentral:rRNA from 1 species
AAUCAACGCUGGCGGCGUGCCUAACACAUGCAAGUCGAACGCGGUUACCUCGCAAGGGGUAACUGAGUGGCGAACGGGUGAGUAACACGUGGGUGACCUACCUUCGAGUGGGGGAUAACGUCCCGAAAGGGACGCUAAUACCGCAUAACAUUCUGCUUUUGAACAGGUGGAAAUCAAAGCCGGGGAUCGUAAGACCUGGCGCUUGAAGAGGGGCCCGCGUCCGAUUAGCUAGUUGGUGAGGUAACGGCUCACCAAGGCGACGAUCGGUAGCCGGCCUGAGAGGGCGGACGGCCACACUGGGACUGCGACACGGCCCAGACUCCUACGGGAGGCAGCAGUGGGGAAUUGUUCACAAUGGGCGCAAGCCUGAUGACGCAACGCCGCGUGGAGGAUGAAGGUCUUCGGAUUGUAAACUCCUGUUGCUCGGGACGAAAUGCUCCAACCUAAUACGUUGGAGUUUGACGGUACCGGGUGAGGAAGCCCGGCUAACUCUGUGCC